UGUAGGAGCGAGCUUGCUCGCGAGGCGUCAUGUCAUUCAAUUUUUCUGUUGCCUGACACACCGCUAUCGCGAGCAAGCUCGCUCCCACA
rnacentral:misc_RNA from 1 species